rnacentral:lncRNA from 1 species
CUGCUCAGGCCCUGUCCUGCUGAGCCUGCUGCUGUUUCCUCUCUGUCAGAGCCUCUGGCAUGUGAAUUAUAUUGUAGGUGAGUGUCCCAUGCUGUGUGAGAGCCUCUGGCACAGUCAGUGUCUGAAGGGUUUGCAAGGAUAGUUCUUGACUGCACUAUUUUAAUGUGAACUGGGAAGUGACUUCUUACCUUUAUGCAUAGUGGAAUUUCAGGAAGUAAAUUAGCCAAAAUAAAAGAAACAGAGCUAUAUUUGAUAAGCAAAGAGUUCACUGAAUAUUUUGCCCAGCUGUAAGGUUUUGGACUCAGUGAUCCUUGUGGGUCCCUUCCAGUUUAGGUCAUUCUCUAUGUUGUUGGCAAAACCAGAAAAGCUCAGGUAGUUCUUAUUUCAGCUUUAGGAUGAACUAUCCCAAUAAUUGCAUUUGACAGUCAAAAAAUCGAUAGAGACCCAUGUAAGUCCUUAAUGACAAAGAUUGUCUGUCUGUCUGUCUGUCUGUCCUUCCAGUGCCAGCCCAGCUGCUGGGGGCUGUUCUGGCAGGAGCUGAGCCUGGAGCCCAGCCUGGCACAGCCAGGAGGAGAUGCUGCCAGGCUGGGGAUGCUGCCACGCCUGGGCACCAUCCCAGGGUGCCGCUGCCCAGUGCCCUGAGCACAGCUGCUGGAGGCCACCUCCUGCAUGGAUGAAAGCCCUGAAAUUCCCUUUGUGGGAAUUACAGACCAGACCUUCAGGCUCUGGCACUGAGGUUUCAGCUUCCACAAGGAGCCUGGCACAGACCUUGCCCUGAUUAUGGAGCCACCCCAGUGAUGUUUUAAAUUAUGGGUGAGUUUUACAUAAUUCUUUUGAUACGUGUUGUUAUGACAUGUAAAAUUUUAUCUUUGCAGUUGCAGUGGAUUAUGUAAGGUCUUUGUUUUGCAUUUGUCAGGAUAACUUGAACCACUGCACAUUUGACAAAAGCACUUUCAGGGAGCCUGG